UCAAGCUCGGGCAUCUGGAACCAGCAUUCCUAACUGCUAAGUUAUCUUGCCUGUUCAUCUGAAAAUCAACUAAAAUAAUGGAUUUGGAAAAAAAAAAAAAAGCAGCUCUAAACAAAUGAAAUGAACGAUUGCAACUAAAACUUUCUCAGCCAUAUCCUUUUAUGACUCUCGUGUGUUGAGAGGAUUUUUAGCAAAAACAGAGAUGGGCUGCAUGUUCAGCCCAAUCACUGAAAGCCCCUUACAAAUGAGUUGAACUUUGUCUAAAAGGAUAUUAGAUUCUGUUACCUAAUUACUGCUUGUCUUUUAGAGUCAUCAUGAGGAAGACCAUUGUCAAGAACUUGGGAGGUUUCAGAUGCAGUGGAUUAUAAGACGCACUGGAACAGCUGAUACACUGAGGGACCUCCCACCUGAAUAGGACGAUUGAACUUUGCUUUGGUGAGGGAUGACUUGCCGGAAGAUGAAAAGCUUUGCGGUGGAACACUAGUGGUGCUCUUCACAGCUCCCAAGGCAUUGCUGGUGCAGCAUGGGGGAGAUGGUGUGGUACAGGUGAGGAGUGAUGACACAACAGACAUCUUGGAGGAGGCAAAGCUUGAGACAGAUCUUCAAGGAUUGGUACUAUCUGGACAGGUUGAAGAGGAGUAGCAGGGCUUUCAGAUGUGGAGAACGGCAUGCACAAAAGC